rnacentral:rRNA from 1 species
AAACGGCCGCCCUAGCGUGAGGGUGCGAAGGUAGCGAAAUUCCUUGCCUUUUGAUUGUGGGCCUGCAUGAAUGGUUUAACGAGGGUUUGACUGUCUCUAAGUUUUUUAUUGAAAUUGUAUUGAAGGUGAAGAUACCUUCAUUUAAAAGUUAGACAAAAAGACCCCGUGCAACUUUGAAAAUUGGCUUUAUUCAGAGGUAAAAGAUUUUUAGGUGGGGCGCCUAGAAAGUAAGUCUAACCUUUCUGAAUAAUUAGUUCUUUCCGGAUUUGACCCGAUUAUAUUCGAUCAUAGGAGAAGCUACGCCGGGGAUAACAGGCCGAUCCUUUAGUAGAGCUCGUAUUGGCUAAAGGGAUUGGCACCUCGAUGUUGAAUCAGGGAUGACACCUUCAAGGCGUAGAGGCUUUGAGAGUAGGUCUGUUCGACCUUUAAUACCCU